rnacentral:rRNA from 1 species
ACAGGUGCUGCAUGGCUGUCGUCAGCUCGUGUCGUGAGAUGUUGGGUUAAGUCCCGCAACGAGCGCAACCCCCAUCUUCAGUUGCCAUCAUUUAGUUGGGCACUCUGGAGAAACUGCCGGUGACAAGCCGGAGGAAGGCGGGGAUGACGUCAAGUCCUCAUGGCCCUUACGGGUUGGGCUACACACGUGCUACAAUGGUGGUGACAAUGGGUCGCGAGGCGGUGACGCCAAGCUAAUCUCAAAAAGCCAUCUCAGUUCGGAUUGUACUCUGCAACUCGAGUACAUGAAGUUGGAAUCGCUAGUAAUCGCGCAUCAGCAUGGCGCGGUGAAUACGUUCCCGGGCCUUGUACACACCGCCCGUCACACCAUGGGAGUUGGUUCUACCCGAAGCCGGUGCGCUAACCGCAAGGAGGCAGCCGACCACGGUAG